UGUGUAGGCGGUUCUUUAAGUUUGGUGUGAAAUCUCCCGGCUCAACCGGGAGGGUGCGCCGAAUACUGAGGGACUAGAGUGUGGGAGAGGAAAGUGGAAUUCCUGGUGUAGCGGUGAAAUGCGUAGAUAUCAGGAGGAACACCGGUGGUGUAGACGGCUUUCUGGACCAUAACUGACGCUGAGACACGAAAGCGUGGGUAGCAAACAGGAUUAGAUACCCUGGUAGUCCACGCCCUAAACGAUGCAUAUUUGGUGUGGGUCAUUCAGUUGAUCCGUGCCGGAGCUAACGCGUUAAAUAUGCCGCCUGGGGAGUACAGUCGCAAGGCUAGAA
rnacentral:rRNA from 1 species